rnacentral:rRNA from 1 species
CCUACGGGAGGCAGCAGUGGGGAAUUGUUCGCAAUGGGCGCAAGCCUGACGACGCAACGCCGCGUGGAGGAUGAAGAUCUUCGGGUCGUAAACUCCUUUCGAUCGAGACGAACGGCCCUCGGGCUAACAUCCUGAGGGAGUGACGGUACCGAGAGAAGAAGCCCCGGCUAACUCCGUGC